rnacentral:tRNA from 2 species
GGGCAUAGUUUAGUGGUAAAAUUUCGUGCUUCCGACCCGAAGAGGCGGGUUCGAUUCCCGUUGCCC